rnacentral:rRNA from 1 species
UUAAAGGACAAAAGCGGUUUUAGAUACACAAAACAUUUAUAAAGCCAGUAAUGGUGAAAGAAACUUGUUUAGAAUAAAAAUAGUACUGAGAAGGAAAGCAAUUAGUCGAUAAAGAGAAGGAGUAUAAUUCUGUACCUUUAGCAUCAUGGUUUAGCUAGAUUUUAUUCUUAUACAAAGAUUCCUCGAAAUCUAAUGAGCUAUUUUUAACUAAUAUCUUAGAUAUAUUAAAGUGGUUGUGGCAGAAACUUUUUAAAAGUUAAAAAUAGAAAUGAGAUUUUAUUCGUAUUAGAUGAUAGCUAGUUCUUCUUUAAAGACAUAUAAGUGUUGUGGGCCUGAUUGGUAAUAUAGGAAGCUUCCUAUGGAACAGAUGGUCUGAUUAAGUUUCUGAGGACAAGCUCAUAAACACUAACAGGGCUGUAUUUAAAUGCUGCUAACUAAAUUUAGGCUUGGAGAUGGCCACAGUAGAUGAUUUUGUUAUAAUUUCAUUAUUUUAAAGAGCAUAGAAUAGGUAUACAUAGCUUAAAAGAAGAAAGUUUUUAAUCCAUGACAGAAUAAAUCGUAUGCUAAAAUGAGUAUCAAUUGCCUUGCUUGUCUUAGUCCACUUAAAUGGAUAGACUAUAAAAAGGAUAAGAAUUUUAAAUCGAAAAAAGGAACUCGGCAAAUCUUUAUUCCGCCUGUUUAUCAAAAACAUGGCUCUUCGUCUGCUCUUUAUGGAGAGUCGGACCUGCUCGGUGAAUAGUUUUAACAGCCGCGGUACUCUGACCGUGCAAAGGUAGCAUAAUCAUUUGCCUUAUAAUUGAAGGCUAGUAUGAAUGGUUUGACGAGAAUAAAGCUGUCUCUUUUCGAUUAAAUACAAUUUUAUCUAUAGGUGAAGAAGCCUAUAUUUCACUGAAAGACAAGAAGACCCUGUCGAGCUUUAAACAAUUUAGUAAGUCAAUAACAUACUCGUAAAAGAAUUGAAUUACUAAGGAUUUUGGUUGGGGCGACUAAGGAACAGAAAUAGCUUCCUUUGCUACUUAAGGGCUCGCUAGCAUUGAUCCAGGACUUCUGAUUAAAGGAAUUAGUUACCGCAGGGAUAACAGCAUAAUCUUCUUUGAGAGCUCUCAUCGAAAAGAAGGCUUGUGACCUCGAUGUUGGACCAGAAUUUCCGAAAGAUGUAGCCGUCUUUAAAGGUUGGUCUGUUCGACCAUUAAAAUUCUACGUGAUCUGAGUUCAGACCGGCGUGAGCCAGGUCAGUUUCUAUCUUCAGUUAAUAAAAUAGCUUUAGUACGAAAGGACCAAGCUAUUGUAAAAAUUUACUUAUGAUGAUUAAAUCUAAAAGACAAUUAAGUAUAUCACUUG